CGUAACUUGCCCCGAGAUGAGUUCUCCCUGACUCCCUGAGAGUCCUGAAGGAACGUUGAAGACGACGACGUUGAUAGGCCGGGUGUGUAAGCGCAGCGAUGCGUUGAGCUAACCGGUACUAAUGAACCGUGAGGCUUAACCUUACAACGCCGAAGCUGUU
rnacentral:rRNA from 1 species